CGAAUUUCUAAAUCAACGAUCCUUACCUCGGCAGCUUCGAAAUUCUGGAUGAAAACGAAAAUAGAUGAUCGCCUCGGUUUCGACCGUACGCGUACACGGUGUCACGAAAACUAGUACGAAGAUCACAAGAGAAAACACAAUAAAUAUACUUUUGUUGAUUUUCUAACCUUAAUAUAUAAGCAAUAAAUAAAUAAAUAAAUAUAUAUAUAUAUAUAUAUAUAUAUAUAUAUAUAUAUAUAUAUAUAUAACAUAAAUAUACAGACAAUUUUAGCAACACGAAAUUGAUUGGCGACGUACUGAAUUUUAAAAUUACUCUGUGUAAAAAAUAAGAAAUAUAACUUACUGCCUGCGACCUUCAUAUGUAUGUAUAACAAAAUUUAUUAAAUUCGUAAAACUAAAAUACAGAAUUAAAAAUGUAUAAAAUGUAUUUAUUAAAAGUCUGGUUACCCUACAUCUUUUAUCUGUGAUGCAUAAUUACAAACGCUAAUGUAUGGAAGUAAUGCCAAUCCAAAGAUUCUUUAAAUUUGUCAUUCUGAUUAAAUUGUACAUGUUGAUCAUGUCGUUACAAAUAAUUAAUGACUCACCACUAUUGUGUUGCAUAUAAAAUAAAUAUUAUUUAUCAUUCAUAUUA